AUGACCUUCCCUGUUGUAGGCAGAGCUCUCCCUCUCCUUAUCCCUCUUCCUAACUGCCGGCAGCAUGGAGUCAGAGGAGGAGCGGGCCCAAAGCAAGGAGGAGUGACUCCUUGGGUCCCCCACCCCGGCCCCACCAGAGGAGGAGGUGAAGGAGGAGUCCUGGAAUACCUCCAUCUUCCUCCUGAGAGAGAGGAGCAGGAUGUCGUCGUCAGAGUGGAGGAGGUGGGAGGAGGCGCCAGAGGUGGAGGACCCACCAGACACAAUGUUUUCAGCCCGGCCCAGCAGAAGCCUAAUGUCCUGCAGAGUCUGGGAGCCUACGAAGGAAUCAUCAGGAUUACUACGAUCAAUGGUGGUGUUAACCUGGGGACAGGACGCUACUGCACUGUCUCUGUACUGAGAUAAGCUGUCAGCACUGGACUCAAGCCCCCCUGCCAACUCUAUAGCAGCCUGGGUAGAGACAUUCACUCUGCUGUCUCUCUGAUGUUGCUCAGUGGACUGUAGGUCCGGAAGCAAGCCAGGGUACUUUUUAUUUUUGGACUCUGGUGCAGGGAGCUGGUAGAUGUGGAGGUCAAGGGGCUGGGUGGACUGUGGUGCAGGGGAGGAUGGCUGGAGGCAGUGAGGAUCCUGCUGGGAGUCCUGGAGCACUGUGUUCUCCACUGAGAUAUCCAGGGGGCAGAGGGCCAUCCUCAGACUGCCCUGGCUGGGAGACCUGUCUCUGUCUGGUCCCAGAGAGGGGGACAGGCAGCUCCUGGUGUUCUCUGCCUGGCUCCUUAUGGGAUGGAGAUGGAGGCUGUCCACACUGAGAGGUAGAGACAUGCUUGAGGCCACAGACAGCAGGCUGGACCUGGAGAACUCUCCUUUAUGAGGGCUGUCGCCUGGGAACACCACGGGAGAGAAGAGGAUGUUACUUGGGUCUAAUCUUGAAUGCUGAUUGGUUAAAACCGCAUUUCAGACAGUGUCUACCGGCUAAAUCUAUGAUGUUAAAAUGCCUAUUUACUCUGUUCCAUCUGACUGUACAAUCCACUGUCUCAUCAGCCCAGCCAGGCAAUUUAUAAACUUGAUCUCCACUAUAUGGAGACGAAGGUCAACUAGUUUGAAGUGUUUCCAGAUUCAGUUUGAAGUGAUUGUGUUAGCUGUGUUGUUGGCUAGCUCCUCUGAACAAGUGUCCUGAUGAGAGAACAUAUUUUCUCUGCCAGGUGAAAUUGCGCCUCAUUCGCUCAUUGUUAUGGAUCCAAAUAAAUGUCACUAGAAAACAGCUUCAACAAAUACAGCAACUUUGUUGUUAUUCUGGCUACGCUGUUUGACGUGACUGUAAGUUAGCUGUAGUUGGCUAGCUGGCAAGGGAUAAGAACGUUGCCAGCCAGUCUGGCAAUGGAACAUUUAGAACCAACGACUGGGUCGGGUCCAUAGUUACAGAACAUUUAGAACCAACGACUGGGUCGCGUCCAUAGUUACAGAACAUUUAGACUGAACGACUGGGUCGCGUCCAUAGUUACAGAACAUUUAGAACCAACGACUGGGUCGCGUCCAUAGAUACAGAACAACAAGACUGAACGACUGGGUCUCGUCCAUAGAUACAGAACAUUUAGACUGAACGACUGGGUCGCGUCCAUAGAUACAGAAC
rnacentral:lncRNA from 13 species